rnacentral:rRNA from 1 species
AGUAACGCGUAAGUAAUCUACCCUCGCAUCUGGGAUAACCCACCGAAAGGUGUGCUAAUACCGGAUACGUCUAUGUUAAUAUCUUUUUUAUAGAGAAAGGUGGCCUCUGAUUCAAGCUACUGUGCGGGGAGGAGCUUGCGUACCAUUAGCUAGUUGGUAGGGUAACGGCCUACCAAGGCGACGAUGGUUAGCGGGUCUGAGAGGAUGAUCCGCCACACUGGAACUGAAACACGGACCAG